rnacentral:rRNA from 1 species
UUAACUCUUAGGUCAGAAGUUGUCUAAAAUAUUUGGAAGUCUAGUAGAGAGAUUAAACCAUAUAUAAUAUAAUAAUAAAAAGUACUGUGAAGGAAUAUGAUAUAAUAUAAUAAGAAUAGAGAUUAUGACUCGUACCUUUCGCAUCAUGGCUUAACUAGAUUUAGUUUUAGUAUUAAAUUUCUCGAAGUCUAAUGAGCUAUCUUUAUCCUUUAUAUUUGGUGAAUUCAAGAGUAGUUGUAGAAGAAACUUUCUGAGAGGUAAGGAUAGAAAUGAUAUUUUAUUCGUAUUAGGCGAUAGCUAGUUUUCCUAAAAAGUAUCUAAGUACUCCGAAUUAAGAAAUUUUCAAAAUGCCGAUAAACAUUAGAUAAUUAUUAAUUUAGAUGAAUUAAUAAGGAUAAGCUUAUUAAUUAUUAUACAGCAAGAGGGUUUAAUUUCAUAUUAUAUAUAGGCUUAAAAAUAGCCAUGAAAAGUAAAGUAUGUUAUAAUAUUAUUUUAUAAAGAGGAAUAGGAUUAAUUUACUUUAGUUGUAAGUGGAGUUAAUCUAUAAAUAAUGUAAAUAGAUUGAAUUAAUGUUAAGAUGAGUAUUGGGGAUUAUUAUUAAUAUUUAAUUAGGAAUAUAGAAAUAUUAAGUUUAUAAGAAUGUUAUCAACUUAAUUAAAAUUACAAAAAGGAACUCGGCAAAAAUGUAUUCUGCCUGUUUAUCAAAAACAUCGCUCCUUGAUAGAUUGUGUAUAAGGAGUCGGACCUGCCCGGUGAUUAUUUUAACGGCCGCGGUACCCUGACCGUGCAAAGGUAGCAUAAUCAUUUGUCUUAUAAUUGAAGACUGGAAUGAAUGGUUUGACAAGAAUACUUCUGUCUCUUUAUAAUUUUAUAGAACUUAAUUUUUAGGUGAAGAAGCCUAAGUAAAAUUGAAAGACAAGAAGACCCUAUCGAGCUUUAAGUAAAUUAGUAACCUAAGAAUAAUAUGAGAUAGAGAUAUAAGUUACUAAAAAAUUUUGGUUGGGGCGACAAAGGAACAUAAAAAGCUUCCUUUAUUUAGUUGUAUAUUUUCAAAUCUGGAUCCAAAUUUUUGUUGAUUAGAGAAAAUAGUUACCGUAGGGAUAACAGCAUAAUCUUUUUUGAGAGCUCAUAUUGAAAAAAAGGUUUGUGACCUCGAUGUUGGAUCAGAAUACCCUAAAGAUGCAGAAGUCUUUAAUGGUUGGUCUGUUCGACCAUUAAAAUUCUACGUGAUCUGAGUUCAGACCGGCGUGAGCCAGGUCAGUUUCUAUCUUCAAUUUGAUGUGCAAACUUAGUACGAAAGGACCAGUUUGAAAUAAUUUAAUUAUAACUGAUGAGUAAAUAUAAUUAGUGAUUAAGAGAUUAAU